rnacentral:rRNA from 1 species
AAUAGAUACCCCGGUAGUCCACGCCGUAAACGAUGAGAACUAGAUGUUAGGGGGCUUAGACCUUUUAGUAUCGCAGCAAACGCGUUAAGUUCUCCGCCUGGGGAGUACGGCCGCAAGGUUAAAACUCAAAUGAAUUGACGGGGGCCCGCACAAGCGGUGGAGCAUGUGGUUUAAUUCGAUGCAACGCGAAGAACCUUACCUACCUUUGAAUCCACGGAAUCUUGCAGAAAUGUGAGAGUGCCUUCGGGAACCGUGAGACAGGUGCUGCAUGGCUGUCGUCAGCUCGUGUCGUGAGAUGUUGGGUUAAGUCCCGUAACGAGCGCAACCCUUGCCCUUAGUUACCAGCGAGUUAUGUCGGGGACUUUAAGGAGACUGCCGGUGAUAAACCGGAGGAAGGUGGGGAUGACGUCAAGUCCUCAUGGCCCUUACAGGUAGGGCCACACACGUGCUACAAUGGCCGGUACAAAGGGUUGCCAACCCGCGGGGGGAGCUAAUCUCAAAAGCCGGUCGUAGUCCGGAUUGGAGUCUGCAACUCGACUCCAUGAAGCUGGAAUCGCUAGUAAC